GAUUAGGCUGUGGUUUUUUUUUUUGUCAUUGGAGGCAUAAGAAUUACAAAGUUCAGACUGAUAUUCCUUGCCGGUAGAAAAAUAAAGUGGGUACUGAUAUUUGUGUACUCUUUUUAAGUCAUUUCUAACCAGAACAGUUUGCAUUAUAUCAACCCAUUCUACAAAAAUCGAUAUGUGCAUGAAGCAAAUUUCUGGCGCUGGCAUAGUGUUAUUCGAUGGUCGGCUAUGAUGUUUACAGUGGCUCCUUUUCUUUUCUCUUCAGGUUGCCCAGUGGAAGGGAGCAGUACUAACGGCGUGCCACAGGUCAGUUUACUGCUUAUCGGCUACUUUUCUUUGUUCCAUGCCGGGGAAUCAAGCAGUUAUUCAUGGGUUGGGAGCCCCACAAUGCUUCACAAGGUGCGCGACCUGCCUUUUGCUUUCUUCAGCGACCCUGAGUUGAUGCUCAUCUUGGCUGCUGCUCUCGUUGCCGUUUGUUAUGGCAGUGAUCGGAACAGAAGUGUGGUACUUGAAGAAAUAGGUUCAGAUAUGCUCCAUUAAUUCUUUGCUUAGAUCCUGCAGAGCUCAGCACCGGCUACUUUUGGAUCCCAUUGACGCGGAUGGCUCUGGAGCCAAUAAUUCCAGUGACAGCACACAGGUCUCGCCGGAUAUCAGAAGCUCACUGUCUGACAUCUCAAUGUUGUAAAGCCGCCAGUAUCAGGAAAAGGCGGUUCAGGGGCCAUCAGAUUUUGAACAGAAAUGGGAACCAAAAGGAUGGUAGAGGAACAAGAACUGGUGUUGAUGGUAGAGGGCCGGCGGUGCAUAACAGAAACACUGAAUAGCACAAGCUGACCAGACCUUCACAAGAAGCUACCGAAUUAGGGUUUCCGAGGCGGUGGCGGCGUCUGACUAAUGAACCACGAGGCAGCGGCAUAUCAUAGUGGCGAUUACGGGAUAUGAUCGUAUAGUUCCAGUUUACCCGACGUGUUGUUUUCGGUGGGCCAAAGAUGCCAGGUCCGUGAGUCGUCAUGUAGAGAAUAAGUUUGCGAUGUUGUGUUAUGUAUGCCUCUAAUUUGCCUGUCCAUAUAUACUCCAAAAGAACCGUGUGAAAGAAGAAAGUAACGAUCAACUGUACCAAA